GGGUUGUGAGGUUAAGCGACUAAGCGUACACGGUGGAUGCCCUGGCAGUCAGAGGCGAUGAAGGACGUGCUAAUCUGCGAUAAGCGUCGGUAAGGUGAUAUGAACCGUUAUAACCGGCGAUUUCCGAAUGGGGAAACCCAGUGUGUUUCGACACACUAUCAUUAACUGAAUCCAUAGGUUAAUGAGGCGAACCGGGGGAACUGAAACAUCUAAGUACCCCGAGGAAAAGAAAUCAACCGAGAUUCCCCCAGUAGCGGCGAGCGAACGGGGAGCAGCCCAGAGCCUGAAUCAGUAUGUGUGUUAGUGGAAGCGUCUGGAAAGGCGCGCGAUACAGGGUGACAGCCCCGUACACAAAAAUGCACAUAUUGUGAGCUCGAUGAGUAGGGCGGGACACGUGGUAUCCUGUCUGAAUAUGGGGGGACCAUCCUCCAAGGCUAAAUACUCCUGACUGACCGAUAGUGAACCAGUACCGUGAGGGAAAGGCGAAAAGAACCCCGGCGAGGGGAGUGAAAAAGAACCUGAAACCGUGUACGUACAAGCAGUGGGAGCACGCUUAGGCGUGUGACUGCGUACCUUUUGUAUAAUGGGUCAGCGACUUAUAUUCUGUAGCAAGGUUAACCGAAUAGGGAGCCGAAGGGAAACCGAGUCUUAACUGGGCGUUAAGUUGCAGGGUAUAGACCCGAAACCCGGUGAUCUAGCCAUGGGCAGGUUGAAGGUUGGGUAACACUAACUGGAGGACCGAACCGACUAAUGUUGAAAAAUUAGCGGAUGACUUGUGGCUGGGGGUGAAAGGCCAAUCAAACCGGGAGAUAGCUGGUUCUCCCCGAAAGCUAUUUAGGUAGCGCCUCGUGAAUUCAUCUCCGGGGGUAGAGCACUGUUUCGGCAAGGGGGUCAUCCCGACUUACCAACCCGAUGCAAACUGCGAAUACCGGAGAAUGUUAUCACGGGAGACACACGGCGGGUGCUAACGUCCGUCGUGAAGAGGGAAACAACCCAGACCGCCAGCUAAGGUCCCAAAGUCAUGGUUAAGUGGGAAACGAUGUGGGAAGGCCCAGACAGCCAGGAUGUUGGCUUAGAAGCAGCCAUCAUUUAAAGAAAGCGUAAUAGCUCACUGGUCGAGUCGGCCUGCGCGGAAGAUGUAACGGGGCUAAACCAUGCACCGAAGCUGCGGCAGCGACGCUUAUGCGUUGUUGGGUAGGGGAGCGUUCUGUAAGCCUGCGAAGGUGUGCUGUGAGGCAUGCUGGAGGUAUCAGAAGUGCGAAUGCUGACAUAAGUAACGAUAAAGCGGGUGAAAAGCCCGCUCGCCGGAAGACCAAGGGUUCCUGUCCAACGUUAAUCGGGGCAGGGUGAGUCGACCCCUAAGGCGAGGCCGAAAGGCGUAGUCGAUGAGAAACAGGUUAAUAUUCCUGUACUUGGUGUUACUGCGAAGGGGGGACGGAGAAGGCUAUGUUGGCCGGGCGACGGUUGUCCCGGUUUAAGCGUGUAGGCUGGUUUUCCAGGCAAAUCCGGAAAAUCAAGGCUGAGGCGUGAUGACGAGGCACUACGGUGCUGAAGCAACAAAUGCCCUGCUUCCAGGAAAAGCCUCUAAGCAUCAGGUAACAUCAAAUCGUACCCCAAACCGACACAGGUGGUCAGGUAGAGAAUACCAAGGCGCUUGAGAGAACUCGGGUGAAGGAACUAGGCAAAAUGGUGCCGUAACUUCGGGAGAAGGCACGCUGAUAUGUAGGUGAAGUCCCUCGCGGAUGGAGCUGAAAUCAGUCGAAGAUACCAGCUGGCUGCAACUGUUUAUUAAAAACACAGCACUGUGCAAACACGAAAGUGGACGUAUACGGUGUGACGCCUGCCCGGUGCCGGAAGGUUAAUUGAUGGGGUUAGCCGCAAGGCGAAGCUCUUGAUCGAAGCCCCGGUAAACGGCGGCCGUAACUAUAACGGUCCUAAGGUAGCGAAAUUCCUUGUCGGGUAAGUUCCGACCUGCACGAAUGGCGUAAUGAUGGCCCCAGGCUGUCUCCACCCGAGACUCAGUGAAAUUGAACUCGCUGUGAAGAUGCAGUGUACCCGCGGCAAGACGGAAAGACCCCGUGAACCUUUACUAUAGCUUGACACUGAACAUUGAGCCUUGAUGUGUAGGAUAGGUGGGAGGCUUAGAAGUGUAGACGCCAGUCUGCAUGGAGCCGACCUUGAAAUACCACCCUUUAAUGUUUGAUGUUCUAACGUUGACCCGUAAUCCGGGUUGCGGACAGUGUCUGGUGGGUAGUUUGACUGGGGCGGUCUCCUCCUAAAGAGUAACGGAGGAGCACGAAGGUUGGCUAAUCCUGGUCGGACAUCAGGAGGUUAGUGCAAUGGCAUAAGCCAGCUUGACUGCGAGCGUGACGGCGCGAGCAGGUGCGAAAGCAGGUCAUAGUGAUCCGGUGGUUCUGAAUGGAAGGGCCAUCGCUCAACGGAUAAAAGGUACUCCGGGGAUAACAGGCUGAUACCGCCCAAGAGUUCAUAUCGACGGCGGUGUUUGGCACCUCGAUGUCGGCUCAUCACAUCCUGGGGCUGAAGUAGGUCCCAAGGGUAUGGCUGUUCGCCAUUUAAAGUGGUACGCGAGCUGGGUUUAGAACGUCGUGAGACAGUUCGGUCCCUAUCUGCCGUGGGCGCUGGAGAACUGAGGGGGGCUGCUCCUAGUACGAGAGGACCGGAGUGGACGCAUCACUGGUGUUCGGGUUGUCAUGCCAAUGGCACUGCCCGGUAGCUAAAUGCGGAAGAGAUAAGUGCUGAAAGCAUCUAAGCACGAAACUUGCCCCGAGAUGAGUUCUCCCUGACUCCUUGAGAGUCCUGAAGGAACGUUGAAGACGACGACGUUGAUAGGCCGGGUGUGUAAGCGCAGCGAUGCGUUGAGCUAACCGGUACUAAUGAACCGUGAGGCUUAACCUUACAACGCCGAAGGUGUUU
rnacentral:rRNA from 1 species